UUUCCAAUCGGUCGACCCAAUCUUUACAGCACGAUCUUUACCCUUUCUUUCGAGUUAAUAACUUUUUCUCUAAGGGUGUUGAUGAUGACAAGACAACAUUAAACGACGAUGCUGGUUCAAGAGCAAAGGCAAAGAGGAAUGGAAUUGUAAAUAGAAAGAGGUCCAAAAAGGUGCUGUGCAUCCACGCCCCCGACAAUCUACGAUACUGCGUUAGUCAGUUAAAGGAGCCAUGAGUAUUGAUGCCUGAUAACAUCAUCUGCAUUUGGUCGAGCAUCUAAUUUUUAAACUACUUAAUAAAAUCGUUUGUGUC